UCCAAAGAACCUAUCUUCCCAUCCAAACCAGAAACUAGACACUGCAACUGCCACAGCUCUGAGCCAAUUUGUGAUAUAUUCUCAGAAGCAGCAUUAACGUCAUUUUGAAUCGCCUUUGAGAUCUCUUUUUGACUCUCCAUUUUAUCAUCCAAAAGUUGUAUUCGCUGUGUCAAAUGUACCUUUGCAGCAGAUAAAGCCUCAGAUACUUGCUCCAGAUGCUUCGUCAAGUUUG
rnacentral:misc_RNA from 1 species